UGCCUCACAACAACAACACUCACACUCUUGAAGUUGGAGGCUUCAACAAGGGAGGAAUCUAUUCCAACACCAACACCACUUCCUCCUUAUAUCCUAACCUUAACAACAACACUCUUGGAGGCUUCAACAAGGGAAUCUAUUCCAACACCACAUCCUCACCCUAUCUUAACCUUAACAACAACAACAACAACCACCUCAACAACAACCUUAACAGCAAUAAUCUCAAGGGCUACAAGACAUUUUUUAAGGGUGAAGAUCAGUUUCACACACCCAAAAGUGCCAAGAAAAACAGCAGCAACAACAACAACAAGAAGCAUGGGGACAACACUAACAAUAAUGAAGCCACCAAGACUGCUGCAGAGAAGAAAUUCAAAACACUGCCACCAUCAGAGUCUCUGCCUAAGAAU
rnacentral:lncRNA from 1 species